CCUACGGGAGGCAGCAGUGAGGAAUAUUGGUCAAUGGGCGGGAGCCUGAACCAGCCAAGUCGCGUGAGGGAAGACGGUCCUAUGGAUUGUAAACCUCUUUAGGCGGGGAGCAAUGCCGGGCACGCGUGCCCGGAGGGAGAGUACCCGCAGAAUACGCAUCGGAUAACUCCGUGCCAGCAGCCGCGGUAAUACGGAGGAUGCGCGCGUUAUCCGGAUUUAUGGGGUUUAAGGGGUGCGUAGGCGGAUUUUUAAGUCAGCGGUAAAAUGUCCGGGCACAACCCGGGCCGGCCGUUGAAACUGGGGAUCUUGAGUGGGCGAGAAGUAUGCGGAAUGCGUGGUGUAGCGGUGAAAUGCAUAGAUAUCACGCAGAACUCCGAUUGCGAAGGCAGCAUACCGGCGCCCGACUGACGCUGAGGCACGAAAGCGUGGGGAUCGAACAGGAUUAGAUACCCCAGUAGUC
rnacentral:rRNA from 1 species